rnacentral:rRNA from 1 species
GACGAACGCUGGCGGCGUGCCUAAUACAUGCAAGUCGAACGAGAGCGACCGGUGCUUGCACUGGUCAAUCUAGUGGCGAACGGGUGAGUAACACGUGGGUAACCGGCACAUCAGAGGGGGAUAACAUCCGGAAACGGAUGCUAAAACCGCAUAGGUCUUCGAACCGCAUGGUUGGAAGAGGAAAAGAGGCGCAAGCUUCUGCUGAUGGAUGGACCCGCGGUGCAUUAGCUAGUUGGUGAGGUAACGGCUCACCAAGGCCGUGAUGCAUAGCCGACCUGAGAGCGUGAUCGGCCACAUUAGGACCGAGACACGUCGGCCUCUCCUACGGGAGGCAGCAGUAGGGAAUCUUCCGAACUGGACGCAAGUCUGACCGAGCACCGCCGCGCGAGUGAAGAAGCUUUUGGGAUCGUAGAGCUCUGUUGUGAGCGACGAACAAGUGCUACAGUAACUGUUAGCGUCUUGACGGCAUCUAGACAGAACGCCACGGCUUACUACGUG